rnacentral:rRNA from 1 species
CCUACGGGUGGCAGCAGUGGGGAAUAUUGGGCAAUGGGCGCAAGCCUGACCCAGCAACGCCGCGUGAAGGAAGAAGGCUUUCGGGUUGUAAACUUCUUUUCUGAGAGACGUAGAGAGUGACGGGACCUCAGGAAUAAGCCACGUCUAACUACGGGCCAGCAGCCGCGGUAAUACGGAGGUGGCAAGCGUUAUCCGGAUUUAUUGGGUGUAAAGGGCGUGUAGGCGGGAAGGCAAGUAAGAUGUGAAAACUCAGGGCUCAACCCUGAGCUUGGAUUUGAAACUGUUUUUCUUGAGUACUGGGGAGGCAAUCGGAAUUCCGUGUGUAGCGGUGAAAUGCGUAGAUAUACGGAGGAACACCAGUGGCGAAGGCAGAUUGCUGAACAGUAACUGACGCUGAGGCGCGAAAGCGUGGGGAGCAAACAGGAUUAGAUACCCGAGUAGUC